AGAGGUUGCGCUCAGUGGUACAGCAUGUGCCUAGCAAGCAUGAGGUCCUGGGGUCAAUCCCCAAACCUCUA
rnacentral:tRNA from 1 species